rnacentral:rRNA from 1 species
UGCCAGCCGCCGCGGUAAUACGAAGGGACCUAGCGUAGUUCGGAAUUACUGGGCGUAAAGCGCACGUAGGCGGAUUAGAAAGUUAGAGGUGAAAUCCCGGGGCUCAACCCCGGAACUGCCUUUAAAACUACUAGUCUAGAGUUCGAGAGAGGUGAGUGGAAUUCCGAGUGUAGAGGUGAAAUUCGUAGAUAUUCGGAGGAACACCAGUGGCGAAGGCGGCUCACUGGCUCGAUACUGACGCUGAGGGACGAAAGCGUGGGUAGCGAACAGGAUUAGAUA